GGCGGGGUAGCCAAGUGGUAAGGCAAGCGCCUGCAAAGCGCUCACACGCGGGUUCGAUUCCCGCCCCCGCCU
rnacentral:tRNA from 2 species